GAUGAACGCUGGCGGCGUGCCUAAUACAUGCAAGUCGAGCGAACAGACGAGGAGCUUGCUCCUCUGACGUUAGCGGCGGACGGGUGAGUAACACGUGGAUAACCUACCUAUAAGACUGGGAUAACUUCGGGAAACCGGAGCUAAUGCCGGAUAAUAUAUUGAACCGCAUGGUUCAAUAGUGAAAGACGGUUUUGCUGUCACUUAUAGAUGGAUCCGCGCCGCAUUAGCUAGUUGGUAAGGUAACGGCUUACCAAGGCAACGAUGUGUAGCCGACCUGAGAGGGUGAUCGGCCACACUGGAACUGAGACACGGUCCAGACUCCUACGGGAGGCAGCAGUAGGGAAUCUUCCGCAAUGGGCGAAAGCCUGACGGAGCAACGCCGCGUGAGUGAUGAAGGUCUUCGGAUCGUAAAACUCUGUUAUUAGGGAAGAACAAAUGUGUAAGUAACUAUGCACGUCUUGACGGUACCUAAUCAGAAAGCCACGGCUAACUACGUG
rnacentral:rRNA from 1 species